rnacentral:rRNA from 1 species
GGCCAAGUUUUUAAGGGCGCACGGUGGAUGCCUUGGCACCAGGAACCGAUGAAGGACGUGGGAGGCCACGAUAGGCCCCGGGGAGUCGUCAACCAGGCUUUGAUCCGGGGGUGUCCGAAUGGGGAAACCCGGCAGUCGUCAUGGGCUGUCACCCUUGCCUGAACACAUAGGGCAAGUGGAGGGAACGCGGGGAAGUGAAACAUCUCAGUACCCGCAGGAAGAGAAAACAACCGUGAUUCCGGGAGUAGUGGCGAGCGAAACCGGAUGAGGCCAAACCGUAUGCGUGUGAGACCCGGCAGGGGUUGCGCAUACGGGGUUGUGGGAUCUCUCUUUCAUGGUCUGCCGGCCAUGAGACGAGUCAGAAACCGUUGAUGUAGGCGAAGGACAUGCGAAAGGUCCGGCGUAGAGGGUAAGACCCCCGUAGUCGAAACGUCAGCGGCUCGUUUGAGAGACACCCAAGUAGCACGGGGCCCGAGAAAUCCCGUGUGAAUCUGGCGGGACCACCCGCUAAGCCUAAAUAUUCCCUGGUGACCGAUAGCGGAUAGUACCGUGAGGGAAUGGUGAAAAGUACCCCGGGAGGGGAGUGAAAUAGUACCUGAAACCGUGUGCCUACAAGCCGUGGGAGCGUCGCGUUGAGUGCUUGCACUCAACGUCGUGACUGCGUGCCUUUUGAAGAAUGAGCCUGCGAGUUUGCGGUGUGUUGCGAGGUUAACCCGGGUGGGGAAGCCGUAGCGAAAGCGAGUCCUAAUAGGGCGUUUGAGUAGCACGCUCAAGACCCGAAGCGGAGUGAUCUAGCCAUGGGCAGGUUGAAGCGGAGGUAAGACUUCGUGGAGGACCGAACCCACCAGGGUUGAAAACCUGGGGGAUGACCUGUGGUUAGGGGUGAAAGGCCAAUCAAACUCCGUGAUAGCUGGUUCUCCCCGAAAUGCAUUUAGGUGCAGCGUCGUGUGUUUCUUGCCGGAGGUAGAGCACUGGAUAGGCGAUGGGCCCUACCGGGUUACUGACCUUAGCCAAACUCCGAAUGCCGGUAAGUGAGAGCGCGGCAGUGAGACUGUGGGGGAUAAGCUCCAUGGUCGAGAGGGAAACAGCCCAGAGCAUCGACUAAGGCCCCUAAGCGUACGCUAAGUGGGAAAGGAUGUGGAGUCGCAGAGACAACCAGGAGGUUGGCUUAGAAGCAGCCACCCUUGAAAGAGUGCGUAAUAGCUCACUGGUCUAGUGAUUCCGCGCCGACAAUGUAGCGGGGCUCAAGCGUACCGCCGAAGUCGUGUCAUUCANNNNNNNNNNNNNNNNNNNNNNNNNNNNNNNNNNNNNNNNNNNNNNNNNNNNNNNNNNNNNNNNNNNNNNNNNNNNNNNNNNNNNNNNNNNNNNNNNAGGAAGGUAGUCCAGCCCGGGCGGUGGUUGUCCCGGGGUAAGGGUGUAGCCCGAGUGGUAGGUAAAUCCGCCACUCAUCAAGGGUGAGACCUGAUGCCGAGCCGAUUGUGGUGAAGUGGAUGAUCCUAUGCUGUCGAGAAAAGCCUCUAGCGAGUUUCAUGGCGGCCCGUACCCUAAACCGACUCAGGUAGUCAGGUAGAGAAUACCGAGGCGUUCGGGUGAACUAUGGUUAAGGAACUCGGCAAAAUGCCCCCGUAACUUCGGGAGAAGGGGGGCCACACUCGGUGAUGAGCUUCGCGCUCUGAGCUGGGGGUGGCCGCAGAGACCAGCGAGAAGCGACUGUUUACUAAAAACACAGGUCCGUGCGAAGCCGUAAGGCGAUGUAUACGGACUGACGCCUGCCCGGUGCUGGAACGUUAAGGGGACCGGUUAGCUCCAUUUCGGUGGGGCGAAGCUGAGAACUUAAGCGCCAGUAAACGGCGGUGGUAACUAUAACCAUCCUAAGGUAGCGAAAUUCCUUGUCGGGUAAGUUCCGACCUGCACGAAUGGCGUAACGACUUCUCGACUGUCUCAACCAUAGGCCCGGUGAAAUUGCACUACGAGUAAAGAUGCUCGUUUCGCGCAGCAGGACGGAAAGACCCCGGGACCUUUACUACAGUUUGAUAUUGGUGUUCGGUUCGGCUUGUGUAGGAUAGCUGGGAGACUGUGAGCCUUGGACGCCAGUUCAGGGGGAGUCGUCGUUGAAAUACCAGUCUGGUCGUGCUGGAUGUCUAACCUGGGUCCGUGAUCCGGAUCAGGGACAGUGUCUGAUGGGUAGUUUAACUGGGGCGGUUGCCUCCUAAAGAGUAACGGAGGCGCCCAAAGGUUCCCUCAGCCUGGUUGGUAAUCAGGUGUUGAGUGUAAGUGCACAAGGGAGCUUGACUGUGAGACCGACGGGUCGAGCAGGGACGAAAGUCGGGACUAGUGAUCCGGCGGUGGCUUGUGGAAGCGCCGUCGCUCAACGGAUAAAAGGUACCCCGGGGAUAACAGGCUGAUCUUCCCCAAGAGUCCAUAUCGACGGGAUGGUUUGGCACCUCGAUGUCGGCUCGUCGCAUCCUGGGGCUGGAGUCGGUCCCAAGGGUUGGGCUGUUCGCCCAUUAAAGCGGUACGCGAGCUGGGUUUAGAACGUCGUGAGACAGUUCGGUCCCUAUCCGCUGUGCGCGUAGGAGUCUUGAGAAGGGCUGUCCCUAGUACGAGAGGACCGGGACGGACGAACCUCUGGUGUGCCAGUUGUUCUGCCAAGGGCAUGGCUGGUUGGCUACGUUCGGGAGGGAUAACCGCUGAAAGCAUCUAAGCGGGAAGCCUGCUUCGAGAUGAGGACUCCCACCCACUUGAUGGGGUAAGGCUCCCAGUAGACGACUGGGUUGAUAGGCCGGAUAUGGAAGCACGGUAACGUGUGGAGUUGACCGGUACUAAUAGGCCGAGGGCUUGUCCUC